UACGGGGGGGGCAAGCGUUGUUCGGAAUUACUGGGCGUAAAGGGCUCGUAGGCGGCCAACUAAGUCCGACGUGAAAUCCCCAGGCUUAACCUGGGAACUGCGUCGGAUACUGGAUGGCUUGAAUUCGGGAGAGGGAUGCAGAAUUCCAGGUGUAGCGGUGAAAUGCGUAGAUAUCGGGAGGAACACCGGUGGCGAAGGCGGUUCUCUGGGCCUUACCUGACGCUGAGGAGCGAAAGCGUGGGGAGCGAACAGG
rnacentral:rRNA from 1 species